ensembl:lncRNA
UGAUGUGGGCAGCAGGAGGGGGCAGCCAGCCCUGCCUAACCUCUGCAUUUGCACAGAGCAGGGGGUGAGUGCCUCUCCCUGAUGGCCAUCCCUUUCAAUGCUUUAAAUAGCUCUCCUUGACACAAGGCAAUGAAAAUGGCUCACUGACAAGUUUCUCCCAGCCCCGUGGCUAUGAGGUCUGUUCUCUAAAGAAAAAUAGAUGUGGAGACCAUUUGGCUUGAAACCCCUUAAGCAAGUGGAUAAAAUUAAUCAGCUGUCUUUUAACUCUGAUUCAUUUUUCCUUUAAUUCAAUUUACCAAAAUGUGUGGGCAGAGCCUGAGCCUCUGGGCAUAUUAACAUUAAUAAAACACAAUUAAGCAAAUGUUAUUAUGUUGCCAGCAACAAAAAGAAUGCCCCUGAGUGUACAACUUCCCCUCGCUGUAAUAAAUAUGCAGACAUGAGAACUGUGCCUUGCAACCCGUUGCUUAAACAGCUUUAAAAAACCAAAAUACCCACUUUGGUGAAUACAAAGAAGCCAUCGGGAGUAGACCAAAAGUGAACGCACCGAGGCCUUUUGCUGGAAGAGAAGGCAUGAGAGGAGCAGUGCGCCACAGUCAAAACUCCACCCUCAGCAAAAAGAACAGAGGAACAAAAGCAGCGAGCUCUGCCAAGUUAGGAUAAAUGUUCAUGCUGAUGCUCUGUAUGAAUCUUUGCAUCGUUUCAUCAGAAAAGAAGCAAUUCUUUAUUUCUGAGAAUGGCCCAGAGACUUUUUUUUCACCAGGAUCCAAUUCCUAGAGGCAUUUAAUUGUGAUUCUUUUAUUAUGUAGUCCUUUGGGAGAAAGAAGAGAAAAACAGAAGUUUGAAAGACAGAUGCCCCGAUUAACAUGGGGCGUGCUGUGGGUCUUUGCCCUGUUCUGAGUGUCAUGUGUGUGACUAUUCAGCCUCUUCCUGGAUUGCAUUCCAGCCAAGCUCAUGGACAUCUCCUGCAUUUGAGGCAAUCGAAGCCAAAGCUGCUGCUUUGCCCUUCACCAUGUUCCUGCUGCCUCCAGCAGAGCCCUGCAGAGCUGGGUCAUUGGGGUUCUAUGAGAUCUGCCCCUCCUGGGAAAGUGGUGGGUGCAGCCCCAGCUCUGUCACUGCUGCCUUGCACUGGGAGAGUGCAUUUGUGGAGUGUGGAAGCCAAUACGGAUCGUAAAGAGAUGGAGGAGUAAUCCAAAGGAGGCAGGAAGCAAUCCAGGUGCAGCAAGGAUUGGAACAAGGCAGGUUGAGGUCAGAGAUUUCCCACUGGCUUCCAGCUGCCAGGAGAGCCACACUACCGAGCGGAGUGCCAAGGGAGAGGCUCCAAAGUUUGCUUAUGGAGGUUUGGGGAGGCUGUGUGAAACCCAUCUCCAGCUUUCCUUGUCAUUGCAACGAAUGGAAGUCUGCGGCUGUGUGCAAAUACUGUCUCUGCAGCAGUACAAGGAGGGAUGCGAGGUGCCAGCACUCAUCCCACCACUGAGAGGAGGAUUCGGUUUCUGGCUGCUGUUGGUAAAAGACAGAUGUACAAUACACAAAGCAAGAGCUGACAUUCAGAAUGUGUGUCACCGUUUGCACUGGGCAGGUUGGUGUAACCGUUUGCAUGUCCGCCUUGCAGUGCAGUCCUGUUGGUGAGUGCAGGAAUCAUUUCCAGCUCUCAGCCCUGCCCUCUCAUCUCUCAUUCUCCUGUUUCCAGUUGCUGAACCCAUCCCCAGCCCGUGACUGUCAGCCUUGGUGCUUCCAUGUCUCUCCUGAAUCCACAGUGUGGAAAAACCAGGCCACAAACAUGUUGAGAAGACAGAUGGAUUUCAGCGAGGCUCAGGGGGCUGCAGAGAGGGUCUGGGUACAGGAAAUUGGCAAAGUAGAUGAGGAGAUGGGAGGAAUUUGUGAUGGUAAGGAAGCAGGAGUGGAGGAGGAAGGAUGGGGGAACAGGCUGGUGCAGCAACGGAGAGGUGCAGCUUAGUCUGAGAGCCAGGAAGGGAGGGCAGGAAAGCUCGCGUGGGCUUUGCUGUUGAGGCAAGGAUGAGGGAUGGGAUGGGCAUCUUAAUGCUUUGGGAAUGGAAAUGGAAGACUUCUUAAGUCUCAAAUGAUAUCCAGUGGGUGUUUCCUGAGCCAGGAGAUGUCCCACCUUGGCCACCACUAGGAAAAAGAGCAGACAGAGAUGGCAACUCUCUUCUUGUCAACAGCACAAAUUGUCAACAGCACAAAGGGAGUUUUUGAGGAAGAGAUAGCUAACCAGUGAGAAGCAUUGGCUAAAUGGUUACUUAAGAAGAUUCAUUUUUCAAAGCCUGUGGUACUCAUGCACUGGAACUAACAGUUUCCAGGUCCAAUCUCCUGCUGGCGGGAGGACGCUGAGAAGUGCAGCUGACAGAUGGGUGUGCUUGCAGCCAAUCUCCCUGCGGUGCCCUGGCAAUGUACGGUGCAGCGCAGUGGAAAAGCACCGUUCAUGGAACAGACUGGAAACGAGAGCACUGACAGUGAGCUGUACUUGGACCAGCUCAGCCAAGCUGUAUUUCUGCACUGCUUAUAAAACCAGAAUUCAAUUUAUACGUGGAGUUCCAGAGUAUCAUCAGGUAGAAAAUAACAACAUGGUCCUAAAUCCUCUUCCCUCCUCUUCACGCAGUCAUAGGGGAGGAUGCUGCAUUACCCCUCGAUGCUAUGGGUGAAUUUCCUUAAGUUUUGUAAGCUGCCAUUUGCAUCCUUUCUUUCCCCUUUUCUAUCACCACAGCUUAUGACAUGUUAACGUUGCUGACAUUGUUCCCAGGUCCAUGGGAUGCCAGUGGGCAUGUCCAUCUUGCCUGGUGCUGCUGCAGUGAAGGACUGCAAACCCACAUGUGCAUUCACGUCUGUAAUGGUUCAGAGACUCCAGAAGAUCAUAUUAAAUUAAAUUAAGGAGAGUAAAAUGUGUAUCAGGGGCAAUAUGAGGUGAUGCUUCAUUUCCAGUGUCCCAACUUGUUAAAAUAAAAAGCAUUCAUUCCAGUUGAAUAUUUAUCACUAAAUUUGAAGCAAAAGUAAAAAUGCCCUUUGGUUUCUCUGCAAGAAAAGUAAAGCCUCAUUGAAAUCUCACCACGGAGGAAUAUUUUUAACAUACAGAAAGUUUCCUGUUUUUAAAGGCAGUAAUGCAAAUUUGAAGUAAGACAAUGUAAAUUAUAGAGUGACUUCAAUGAGCUAUUUUGUGACCUUGCGAUCUUUAGAGCUAUUGAAGGGAGUCAACCGUGCUUCUGGUGGGUGGCUGCACAUGGAACCGAAGGGAAAUAUGUUGUGGGGGUGAGGGUGCCUGGCUGCUGUGAUGCAUAAGUGACGAUUUAGGGUUAGUGAGGAUGUCUGUGUUGCCUUAGUGAUGGCUUCCUGGGAUUUUUUUGGUGGCGUUCACAAGAACUCGAACUGGGGCUUUGUUUUGCAAAUCCAAUGGUGGGGCGUGGGCAAAUCACCCAUAUUUCCCUCUGCUGACUGACUGCCUCUGGUUGCUUCAUCUGAAUCCUGCUCAGUUUAGCUCAUAAAAACCUCUGUUUAUUGAAGUCUCCAGAACUGAGUACUGUAGCUUUUCUGGAUGGGAAUGGGAUGAGG